GGGGACGUUUUGGAUUAGACAGGAUGUUUUGGUGGAAAUAUGCGGCGUGUCGGAGAGCUGUUCUCCGUUAUCAACGGGCAAAACAAAUUAAAUGCUAACAAUGUAAUUAAAGCAGACUUCUCUAGAGCAGCAGCUUUAGCAGCGUAGUCGCUAUUUAGCUACUCAUAAGUCCCAGCUUGCCGGAUUUAUGGGUCCAUUAUGCAAGCGGCAAUGCGUUAAUGCAAAGUAGGCGCACCAAGUUAACUUUGCAGAGUUUAGCGUUUCUCUCAAAUAAAACCUUUGGUCAAUUCGUAGGGUUUAGACAUUUUCCUGAAUUGAUUGAGCAAAAAACAGUCUACACACGUAGAAGUAUGUUUACAUCCAUUUUGGACAGGGGUUCAACUCCCCUCGUCUCCACCA
rnacentral:tmRNA from 1 species